CUUAUUUGGUUAUUCCUUGGAUCCCUGGCCGGUCUUUCCCUACGCAUGCCAGUCCAUAGCAUAAACACAUGUAUUGGUUUUCCAAUAAUAAGGCUAAAGCUUUCCUUCCUUUCUAAUCAAGGGCCACUGGCCCCCGGAACAAAGCCCUUAAUCCCCAACUGCCCCGCGGACCGUCUCACCCGGCUUUCCAUUGCACAUCACUUUGGAUAACGGCGUCUGCUAAGUAAAGGACCGUAACUGUAAUCGCUGUCAUGUGGGUUUGUGUGCUGCUCCUGUUUUCAGUGAAAGCCCAGCAGUUUACAGACACAUACUUUGGAUGCAGCUUCCACCUCAGCACCCUGCCAGCAGUGGAGAGGCUCCCUUGGUGAGACGGGAGCAGGACAGAAGCAGAGGAGGGAGAAACGUGAUACGCCGACCUGUCAAGCGUAAACUCGGAUCCCUUCCAGAAAACGGGUUGGAAUGCAUCUGCUCCACCGUGGGAAUGUCGCCGCGGCAACCACGCAGAUGAGCAGGGGCUCGUCGGCCGCGAAGCUACCUGGAGGCUGCUGGCAGCGAGCUGCCGCAACUUCCUCAGGUUUCCGCCAUUUUUAACCCCUGCCAGGUCCGAGUCCUGGAUGCAAAGGGCAAAGAGAUCCACCCUCGUUCUGCAGUGAUUCCUCACCUCAAGCACCAACCCUGCUGGGCUGCAUCGCUACACACGACCAAGACUGACGACGGGGCAGAUUCCUGUGAAGGCUCCACCAGGAACGCUCAAGAUAUCACUUGAGAAGGACCUGUCUUGUUCCAGCGGUCAAGCCUGGCCCUGCAUCUGAAGGUGAUUUCAAGAUGAUGGAGAUGAAGGCUUACAAAGUCGGUCACCGCUGGGUCACUGCUUGGGUACGACAUCCGAUUCCUCAGAAUAGCAUGUCUGAGGUUUAUGUAACAGUAUAUACAGGGUGAACACAGCAGGAUGAGGUUCUGAUGAAAAACACAUGGAAACGACAUUAAAAUGACAUGGUCAGGAGGUCUGUCUCAUACCUUUUACAUUAGCAGCUUAUGUUUUUUUUUACUUUUCAUGGAUAAAUAUCAAACCUCCAGCAGUAGACUGGUGACCUGAUUUGGGUCAUAUAAGGAGCAUAGAUGAAUGAUAACUCCCGGACUGAGACAUUCAAGCCACAUGGACUGUGUAGAGUUCGGCUGGCAUAUACCAUACAGACACUAUCUUGGCUUAUUGAAGGCUUUCCUUUCCUGCACCUGUCCUCACAGAACAGUAGAUGGCAGAGUGGUUAAGCACUUGCAACAUAAAUAUUAAUUAUAUUGGACCCUUUUGAAUUUCUGCAGCAAAUAGUCUUGCAUAUUCCAGUGCAGGAAAAAAGUUCAAAAAGUAUGUGUUGUUAUGGAUGAAAGUUUCAGCUUAGCUGUAAUGGUAGAGUUUAAAGAGUGUCGAUUUGGUUCAUGUGUAAAUGAUAUCGCAGUAGCUCUCCCGGGCGGCUGAAUGCGAGAGUAAUGUUGUUUUCGGGGGAGGUGGACCUGAACACCAGCCAAACUGGUUGUGUAGGUCUGGUCUGUUCUGACAGAAAUGGACGCGUGGAUCUUGCAGCAGCAGAAGCUGUGUGAGGUCUUUUUACUUUUCAUUUUGUUCCCCUUUGCUUUCUCAGUUUUAGCUAAGCUUUGGCUUCAGUGUUGACCGUUUCCAUUUCGCCUCCAAACCACAAGUGUUUUUCUAAUUAUUUCCAUCAACCAUUCAGGAAAAAAAAAAAGCAUCUUAAUGCUGUUAACGACCUCGGGGCCAAGAUGAAGCGAGUUACCUGAGGAUAAGAGCCGCAGAGAGAAAAAAAUAACGAUUAGCAUUUCUUGAAAAUACGGCCCCUAUUAUUCAUGCUAAUGGGUAAUGCUAGACCAGCAUAAUUAUUGCACUACAACUGCUUGCAAGGCUGAAUAGAGCUGGAAUUUCCAUUUGUGUGCCUUUAAAAGCCCUGCAGUUUAGCCAGCUGCGUGCGACCUGGAGAAAUUCGAAUUUAUUCCAAGAUUGGGCACGUAUCCCAGUGUGUGGGUGCAGGCGGAAAAUAUCAGUGUACGAGAUGAACGUAUCAGUCCAUUGGGUGUGUGUGUGCGUCAUCUCCAAGGACAAUAGCUUGUAGCAGGUUUGUAAGCAGGAAAGGUAGGCAGGACUCCUGCCUUCUCUUGUAACACAUCCUCAUCGCAUUUUACAUACCUUCAUCCAGACUUUCUCUUUCUGCCCCGAAAGCCCUAAUAUUGCUCCAGGCCUGAUCUUUCAGCAACCUUCUGUCCUUAGCAGAGUUUCUCGUAGGACGUGUCCUCAGCCCAUUUAGCUAGGCUGCUACGUAUCUUAUUGCUGUUUUAAAGUUGGUACUUUCACGGUACUUUCAGACCACAGUACUGCUCUGACUUCCUGUCUCUGGGCUCAAAAAUUCCCGUUCAGUGUUUUACGCCGAUGCGGCACGUUCAGUGGAGGGACAAAGCGAAAGAAGACCUGCACUACCAGGCAAAAGCACACCGCAAGUUUUUCUGUUUAUUUCAUAACAAUAUUCUUGUUAAGCAUUGAAAAGUUGAGUGAACAACUAUAAAUGAAAAUAUAAGUCAAAUAAAACAAAUUUCCUUGGACAGAGUAUGUAACAAUGCAUGGUUGUGCGGUGAUGGCAGAGUCAAAUUCUAGGCUCUCCUUUAACUUUAAAUGCACCAGUUAUCUGUUUCGGCCCAUGAAAUGGAGCAGCAUUUAAUGUCCCUUGCAGAAAGAAUACCUUGGAUUUUCUCCACUGUUAUAACGGCAUUUUGAUGAAUGAAAGAUAUGACAUUUUCUUGCUAAUAAAGGUACUCAAAUGGUGAACAUACUGUAAAUUUAUUUCUUAGCAAAGAAUAUUGAGUGCAUUUUCAGCAAAUGUUAAGUGGGUGACAUGCAAAUAUAGAAAAUCUCAGCGCAUGCAAAAAAAAGUCGUGUAAUUCACGUCAUGUGACUCUUACUGGCCAUCCUGUAAGCCAAUCAUUAAACACAAACACUCCAUAACGGCCUGCAACUCCCUCUCUUCAGGCCGUGCCCUCCUCUUCCUUACCUAACCUGACCUUUACUUUAUUUUACCUUAAUCUUAGUGCAACCAUAGUUGAUGUGCACAUUAUAUAUUUUGGAUUAUUUUAAUUAAGUGUAUGCCACUGAUUUAUGUUGUAUAUUAUUAUUAUGCUUUGCAGUAAUUUUAUUAAGGUUAAUAUAUAUU